GUUUUUGAGUUUGUUACCUUUUUGGCGGGAAAGAGUACAAGUACAUUUGGCAACGGCGCUAAUGGCUGCACGAAAAUCAGCACAAAAUUACAAAAAUUUGGUCGACAGGACAGGUCGUCCGUCGUGUUAGAAUCUCUGAUUGCGUCUCUUCAUAACAGAACAGCUUGAAACACACACACCGUGCUGGUUAGCAGAUUUGACAUCUGAGGCAGCCAACAUCAACAACCAGAAAUGCAAGUUUAACUUGUGCUGGUAUCAACCUGCCAUCAGCAACAAUCUCAGUAUAUCAUCGCUAGGAUAAUCAGCAUCCCAUUGGACUGGAGUAUCUAACAAUGCCUGGAUCUCUUCUCCCCUUCUCUGAAUCCCGUCUGUCCUCGUGCACGCCUAUACUCUGAGUGUGGGUGUAUAUUCACGUGGGACUCGUCUCUCGCCUGGCGUUUUCAACUUUUCUGCUGACUUAGCACUUGUGGAUGCCUGGCCGUAAUUCCCAGGCUUAAAAGUAGGGAAAAGAAACUUUUAGAGACAGGACAUUGCAAAGGAGGCUAUCCACUCUUUCGAGGUCGUCCAUUGAAAUGGCUAACCUUGGUGGUUCCAAAUCAUUCUGGGAGUGCUGUGUUGGCUGCUUGUUUGUGAUUUGAUGAGCUUCUAAUGCUUCCACGGUGAAAUGAUUU